rnacentral:misc_RNA from 1 species
UUUAAUAUUUGUUACUUUGUUUUUGUUGGAUAGAAAGAACUCGUUCUGGAUUCAGCAAAGAAGCAAAAGGAAGAAUCAAACUUAAUUCUGAGCUAAUAUUUUACUUGUCACGUCUACGAACAAACAGUAAUACACUAAUACUAUCCAUGGCCAAUAGAAGACCUUAAUGUUUGUAAACUUUAACUUAAAAAUUUACAUUCACAGAAUUUAGAAAACAGUGGUGAAUUCAAAAGGUAGCACUAGUCAAAGAAAAAAAUACCACCAUCUUUCUUGCAAGGAUAUCUACAAUUUCCAGGCCUGUUAAUAGGUGUGGG